CCAUCCGGUCUUACGAGGCCGCGUCUUCAACUCGUCGCAGACCCUCCACGCAAGUGUCUGAGAAUGCGGCUGAGGCGAAGUAAACCCUUGCCUACGAGUACCCUUUGUUCCCUCGGCGGGCUCGCGCCCGUCGAUGGGCCCAACCAAAACCCCUUUGCAGUAGCAGUAUACCUCUGAUCGUGGGCAUUUGAAUCUUAA
rnacentral:misc_RNA from 1 species